CGAACGCUUGCGGCGUGCUUAACACAUGCAAGUCGAACGGAAAGGCCCUGCUUUUGUGGGGUGCUCGAGUGGCGAACGGGUGAGUAACACGUGAGUAACCUGCCCUUGACUUUGGGAUAACUUCAGGAAACUGGGGCUAAUACCGGAUAGGAGCUCCUGCUGCAUGGUGGGGGUUGGAAAGUUUCGGCGGUUGGGGAUGGACUCGCGGCUUAUCAGCUUGUUGGUGGGGUAGUGGCUUACCAAGGCUUUGACGGGUAGCCGGCCUGAGAGGGUGACCGGCCACAUUGGGACUGAGAUACGGCCCAGACUCCUACGGGAGGCAGCAGUGGGGAAUAUUGCACAAUGGGCGGAAGCCUGAUGCAGCAACGCCGCGUGCGGGAUGACGGCCUUCGGGUUGUAAACCGCUUUCGCCUGUGACGAAGCGUGAGUGACGGUAAUGGGUAAAGAAGCACCGGCUAACUACGUGCCAGCAGCCGCGGUGAUACGUAGGGUGCGAGCGUUGUCCGGAUUUAUUGGGCGUAAAGGGCUCGUAGGUGGUUGAUCGCGUCGGAAGUGUAAUCUUGGGGCUUAACCCUGAGCGUGCUUUCGAUACGGGUUGACUUGAGGAAGGUAGGGGAGAAUGGAAUUCCUGGUGGAGCGGUGGAAUGCGCAGAUAUCAGGAGGAACACCAGUGGCGAAGGCGGUUCUCUGGGCCUUUCCUGACGCUGAGGAGCGAAAGCGUGGGGAGCGAACAGGCUUAGAUACCCUGGUAGUCCACGCUGUAAACGGUGGGUACUAGGUGUGGGGUCCAUUCCACGGGUUCCGUGCCGUAGCUAACGCUUUAAGUACCCCGCCUGGGGAGUACGGCCGCAAGGCUAAAACUCAAAGGAAUUGACGGGGCCCCGCACAAGCGGCGGAGCAUGCGGAUUAAUUCGAUGCAACGCGUAGAACCUUACCUCGGUUUGACAUGGAUCGGGAGUGCUCAGAGAUGGGUGUGCCUCUUUUGGGGUCGGUUCACAGGUGGUGCAUGGCUGUCGUCAGCUCGUGUCGUGAGAUGUUGGGUUAAGUCCCGCAACGAGCGCAACCCUUGUUCACUGUUGCCAGCACGUUAUGGUGGGGACUCAGUGGAGACCGCCGGGGUCAACUCGGAGGAAGAUGGGGAUGACGUCAAGUCAUCAUGCCCCUUAUGUCCAGGGCUUCACGCAUGCUACAAUGGCUGGUACAGAGAGUGGCGAGCCUGUGAGGGUGAGCGAAUCUCGGAAAGCCGGUCUCAGUUCGGAUUGGGGUCUGCAACUCGACCUCAUGAAGUCGGAGUCGCUAGUAAUCGCAGAUCAGCAACGCUGCGGUGAAUACGUUCCCGGG
rnacentral:rRNA from 1 species